GGAUGUGAGGACCAUCUGGCUGUGACAUCUGUCACCCCAUUGAUCACCAGGGUUGAUUCGGCUGAUCUGGCUGACUAGGCGGGUGUCCCUUCCUCCCUCACUGCUCCAUGUAGUUCCCUCCUGAAGCUGCAUGCUCGGUCAAAGAGGACAACCUUCCCAAGUAGAGGAGGAGCGGUCUUCAGGCAAGGGUACACGAGGAGCUGCGCUCCCCUGCUGGAACCUCCAAACAAGCUCUCAAGAAACCUUGUGGAGGUGCUGGAUAUGUCUUGAUUGUGGCACUCUGUGAAUAUGUUCAAACUCAUGGAAUUUAUACCUUA
rnacentral:snRNA from 1 species